rnacentral:rRNA from 1 species
GCUUGCGAUGUGCCUAAGGUAUGCAAGUCGAACGAUUCCUGUAUCUUCGGAUACAGGGAGUGGCAAACGGCUGAGUAACGCGUAGGAACCUACCCCAAACUCGAGUAUAGCCCCGCGAAAGCGGGGGUAAUCCUCGAUAGCCCGUGAAGUAUUUUACUUCACGGUAAAGCUUUUGCGGUUUGGGAUGGGCCUGCGUCCUAUCAGGUAGUUGGUGAGGUAAAUGCUCACCAAGCCUAUGACGGGUAGCUGGUCUGAGAGGAUGGUCAGCCAGACUGAGACUGCGACACGGCCCAGACUCCUACGGGAGGCAGCAACUAGGAAUUGUGCGCAAUGGACGAAAGUCUGACGCCGCGACAUCGCGUGGAGGAUGAAGGUCUUCGGAUUGUAAACUCCUUUUCUUACCGAACGAGUUCUGAGUGUAGGUAAGGAAUAAGUGCCUGCUAACCACGUGCCAGAAGCAUCGGUAAUACGUGGGGCACGAGCGUUAUCCGGAUUUACUGGGCGUAAAGAGAAGCGUAGGCGGCUCGAUAAGUUUGGUGUUAAAUCUUCCGGCUCAACCGGAAACAAGCACCGAAAACUAUCGAGAUUGAGUCGAGUAGGGAAGAGGGGAAUUCCUGGUGGAGCGGUUAAAUGCGUAGAUAUCAGGAGGAAUACCAAGGGCGAAGGCACCUCUUUGGACUCGUACUGACGCUGAGGCUCGAAAGCGUGGGUAGCAAAACGGAUUAGAUACCCGUGUAGUCCACGCCGUAAACGAUCCCUGUUAGAUGU